GGUGCUAUAGUGUAGUGGUUAUCACUUGGGAUUUUGAUCUCUUGGGCCGUAGCUAUCUUUCCCAAAACCCAGGUUCGAACCCUGGUAGCACCU